GACGAACGCUGGCGGCGUGCUUAACACAUGCAAGUCGAACGGAAAGUUCCUGCUUUUGUGGGGUCCUCGAGUGGCGAACGGGAGAGUAACACUUGAGUAACCUGUCCUUGACUUUGGGAUAUCUUCAGUAAACUUGGGCUAAUACCAGAUAGGAGCUCCUGCUGCUUGGUUGGCUCUGGUAAUUUUAGGCGGUUGGUGAUGGACUCGCCGCCUAUCAGCUUGUUGGUGGGGUAGUGGCUUACCAAGGCCUUGACGGGUAGCCGGCCUGCAAGGGGGAGCGGCCACAUUGGGACUGAGAUGCGACCCAGACUCGUACGGGAGGCGGCAGUGGAGAAGAGUGCACAGUGGGCGGAAGCCUGAUGUAGCAACGCCGCGUGCGGGAUGAGGGCCUUUGGGUAGUAUAGUGCUUUUGCUUGAGACGAGGCGUGAGUGACGGUAAUGGGAAAAGAAGCACCGGCUAACUACGUG
rnacentral:rRNA from 1 species